GGGUUGUGAGGUUAAGCGACUAAGCGUACACGGUGGAUGCCCUGGCAGUCAGAGGCGAUGAAGGACGUGCUAAUCUGCGAUAAGCGUCGGUAAGGUGAUAUGAACCGUUAUAACCGGCGAUUUCCGAAUGGGGAAACCCAGUGUGUUUCGACACACUAUCAUUAACUGAAUCCAUAGGUUAAUGAGGCGAACCGGGGGAACUGAAACAUCUAAGUACCCCGAGGAAAAGAAAUCAACCGAGAUUCCCCCAGUAGCGGCGAGCGAACGGGGAGCAGCCCAGAGCCUGAAUCAGUGUGUGUGUUAGUGGAAGCGUCUGGAAAGGCGCGCGAUACAGGGUGACAGCCCCGUACACAAAAAUGCACAUGCUGUGAGCUCGAUGAGUAGGGCGGGACACGUGGUAUCCUGUCUGAAUAUGGGGGGACCAUCCUCCAAGGCUAAAUACUCCUGACUGACCGAUAGUGAACCAGUACCGUGAGGGAAAGGCGAAAAGAACCCCGGCGAGGGGAGUGAAAAAGAACCUGAAACCGUGUACGUACAAGCAGUGGGAGCACAGAGCAAUCUGUGUGACUGCGUACCUUUUGUAUAAUGGGUCAGCGACUUAUAUUCUGUAGCAAGGUUAACCGAAUAGGGGAGCCGAAGGGAAACCGAGUCUUAACUGGGCGUUAAGUUGCAGGGUAUAGACCCGAAACCCGGUGAUCUAGCCAUGGGCAGGUUGAAGGUUGGGUAACACUAACUGGAGGACCGAACCGACUAAUGUUGAAAAAUUAGCGGAUGACUUGUGGCUGGGGGUGAAAGGCCAAUCAAACCGGGAGAUAGCUGGUUCUCCCCGAAAGCUAUUUAGGUAGCGCCUCGUGAAUUCAUCUCCGGGGGUAGAGCACUGUUUCGGCAAGGGGGUCAUCCCGACUUACCAACCCGAUGCAAACUGCGAAUACCGGAGAAUGUUAUCACGGGAGACACACGGCGGGUGCUAACGUCCGUCGUGAAGAGGGAAACAACCCAGACCGCCAGCUAAGGUCCCAAAGUCAUGGUUAAGUGGGAAACGAUGUGGGAAGGCCCAGACAGCCAGGAUGUUGGCUUAGAAGCAGCCAUCAUUUAAAGAAAGCGUAAUAGCUCACUGGUCGAGUCGGCCUGCGCGGAAGAUGUAACGGGGCUAAACCAUGCACCGAAGCUGCGGCAGCGACGCUUAUGCGUUGUUGGGUAGGGGAGCGUUCUGUAAGCCUGCGAAGGUGUGCUGUGAGGCAUGCUGGAGGUAUCAGAAGUGCGAAUGCUGACAUAAGUAACGAUAAAGCGGGUGAAAAGCCCGCUCGCCGGAAGACCAAGGGUUCCUGUCCAACGUUAAUCGGGGCAGGGUGAGUCGACCCCUAAGGCGAGGCCGAAAGGCGUAGUCGAUGGGAAACAGGUUAAUAUUCCUGUACUUGGUGUUACUGCGAAGGGGGGACGGAGAAGGCUAUGUUGGCCGGGCGACGGUUGUCCCGGUUUAAGCGUGUAGGCUGGUUUUCCAGGCAAAUCCGGAAAAUCAAGGCUGAGGCGUGAUGACGAGGCACUACGGUGCUGAAGCAACAAAUGCCCUGCUUCCAGGAAAAGCCUCUAAGCAUCAGGUAACAUCAAAUCGUACCCCAAACCGACACAGGUGGUCAGGUAGAGAAUACCAAGGCGCUUGAGAGAACUCGGGUGAAGGAACUAGGCAAAAUGGUGCCGUAACUUCGGGAGAAGGCACGCUGAUAUGUAGGUGAAGCGACUUGCUCGUGGAGCUGAAAUCAGUCGAAGAUACCAGCUGGCUGCAACUGUUUAUUAAAAACACAGCACUGUGCAAACACGAAAGUGGACGUAUACGGUGUGACGCCUGCCCGGUGCCGGAAGGUUAAUUGAUGGGGUUAGCGCAAGCGAAGCUCUUGAUCGAAGCCCCGGUAAACGGCGGCCGUAACUAUAACGGUCCUAAGGUAGCGAAAUUCCUUGUCGGGUAAGUUCCGACCUGCACGAAUGGCGUAAUGAUGGCCAGGCUGUCUCCACCCGAGACUCAGUGAAAUUGAACUCGCUGUGAAGAUGCAGUGUACCCGCGGCAAGACGGAAAGACCCCGUGAACCUUUACUAUAGCUUGACACUGAACAUUGAGCCUUGAUGUGUAGGAUAGGUGGGAGGCUUUGAAGUGUGGACGCCAGUCUGCAUGGAGCCGACCUUGAAAUACCACCCUUUAAUGUUUGAUGUUCUAACGUGGACCCGUAAUCCGGGUUGCGGACAGUGUCUGGUGGGUAGUUUGACUGGGGCGGUCUCCUCCUAAAGAGUAACGGAGGAGCACGAAGGUUGGCUAAUCCUGGUCGGACAUCAGGAGGUUAGUGCAAUGGCAUAAGCCAGCUUGACUGCGAGCGUGACGGCGCGAGCAGGUGCGAAAGCAGGUCAUAGUGAUCCGGUGGUUCUGAAUGGAAGGGCCAUCGCUCAACGGAUAAAAGGUACUCCGGGGAUAACAGGCUGAUACCGCCCAAGAGUUCAUAUCGACGGCGGUGUUUGGCACCUCGAUGUCGGCUCAUCACAUCCUGGGGCUGAAGUAGGUCCCAAGGGUAUGGCUGUUCGCCAUUUAAAGUGGUACGCGAGCUGGGUUUAGAACGUCGUGAGACAGUUCGGUCCCUAUCUGCCGUGGGCGCUGGAGAACUGAGGGGGGCUGCUCCUAGUACGAGAGGACCGGAGUGGACGCAUCACUGGUGUUCGGGUUGUCAUGCCAAUGGCACUGCCCGGUAGCUAAAUGCGGAAGAGAUAAGUGCUGAAAGCAUCUAAGCACGAAACUUGCCCCGAGAUGAGUUCUCCCUGACUCCUUGAGAGUCCUGAAGGAACGUUGAAGACGACGACGUUGAUAGGCCGGGUGUGUAAGCGCAGCGAUGCGUUGAGCUAACCGGUACUAAUGAACCGUGAGGCUUAACCUUACAACGCCGAAGCUGUU
rnacentral:rRNA from 1 species